CAGAGAGUACUGCUUUAGAGUUCCCUUUUCUUUCUCCAAAGACAUAACUCCUUUGUUUUUCUCUCCCUCUCUCUCUCUCUUUCUCUCUCCUGUUCUUGUUCUUGUUCCGGAGGAUGGACCGCUAGAAAUUUAUCACCAGAACUUGGAUCACAGCAAAAGGAAAGUGGUUGAUUGAGAUCUAUAAAGGCUGGAAGAGGAUCCGGCCGAUGUAGUUAGGACCUUUCUGCAUCACUCGCUGGAAAAUUUUCUGCUCACAAAAUGCAUGUUCGUUGCAUUUGAAGGGUGUAAUUGUGGUCAUUUUCACCUUCAUUGUAUAAUCUUUAGCUGAAACGUGUUUUUCACAAGUUAUGAUUUAAUUUUUUAGUUAUUUUUAUAU